AUGUAAUUAGAAUCCUUUAAAAAAUAAUAUAUAUAUAUAUAUAUAUAUGUAUAUUAAUUUAAAAACCGAAAAAGAUUGGGGACCAGAACAGUACAAUCGCCGACAAAAACAAACAGGAACAAAAGUGUUAGGAGAAGACUUGGGUAAGAAAGAUAGAGAAGAAACAUGCACUGAGUUUGGGAAGAGAUAAACAGCGGGUCUUUGAAGCUCGAACAAUAAUCAAAAGCAAAGAAAAGACCGCCGGAAGCAAAAGAUAGUUUUGAGAGAAAAGAAAAACGGAGUGACGACGCCGUUAGAUGCGCGGAGAAGAAAAACUCACCGUGUACGGAGCAGAAACCCGAGAAGAAGAUUCGGAUCUCUCCAUCGAGGCGUUGAGAAAAGCGAUCAUACGAGAAGAAGGUUGAAGAAAAACGAUAGUGGAGAGCUUUUCAGGUUGAAGAAAAAAAGAUAGUGGCGAGCUUUUCUGAUAAAAUAGUGGUCAGAGUCUUUUGAAAAACGCUUAUCAUGCGAUGCCAAUGUAACAGGAAACGCCUCGUGCUGGGACCCAAAAAUAUCAAUAUUCUGAACAACCGUUUAUUGAGCAACUCGAUUAUAAUUUUUAUGUGAUUAAUUUACUUUAAUAGAAUGGAAGUCAAACUGUUCUUUAACAAAUUUGUUAAUGAAUAAAUAAAAUGAACUUUAUUAUUUUUUUGAUGUAUUCUAUUUUUACUAUUUCAUUUAUUUUUUAUUCAA